rnacentral:rRNA from 1 species
UAGGGAAUCUUCCGCAAUGGGCGAAAGCCUGACGGAGCAACGCCGCGUGAGUGAUGAAGGUCUUCGGAUCGUAAAACUCUGUUAUUAGGGAAGAACAAAUGUGUAAGUAACUAUGCACAUCUUGAGGUACCUAAUCAGAAAGCCACGGCUAACUACGUGCCAGCAGCCGCGGUAAUACGUAGGUGGCAAGCGUUAUCCGGAAUUAUUGGGCGUAAAGCGCGCGUAGGCGGUUUUUUAAGUCUGAUGUGAAAGCCCACGGCUCAACCGUGGAGGGUCAUUGGAAACUGGAAAACUUGAGUGCAGAAGAGGAAAGUGGAAUUCCAUGUGUAGCGGUGAAAUGCGCAGAGAUAUGGAGGAACACCAGUGGCGAAGGCGACUUUCUGGUCUGUAACUGACGCUGAUGUGCGAAAGCGUGGGGAUCAAACAGG